UUAAGCAGUGACGUUGACUAUCACGUAUGUUCUGAUUGAAUGUCAACUCCAUGAAAGAUGAAAUGCAUUGUUUUUAUUAAUCAAUCAAAAUAUCGUGACAGUUAUCAUCCAAUAAGAACGUGACACAUGGCAGUCAACAUUA
rfam:Glycine soja cultivar W05 scaffold94_50, whole genome shotgun sequence.